GGAAAGGGCCAUGGCUCAGUGGUUGAUCACAUGAUUUGCAGGCAGAAGGUCCCAGGUUCAAUCCCUGGCUUCUUCA